UCUGGUUAAAUCCUCUGAAACGGAAUUGAACGAGCUGUACAUUUUGACUGAGUUUGCCCAGCGGACACAAAACUUCGCUGAACGUCUUGAGGACUUAGUACGGGCUUGUAACGUCCUUAAGAACGUCGUAUCGGUGUCCCACGGACGUCUGUACCCGAUGGGGUGUUAAUUUCUAUAUUUAAUGGCAUCUGUAUCACCAAAAGCGUCUAGGAAACAUGGCACGAUUGCUGCAACAAAUGUUGAAUUUCAAACAGGAAGGGUCACAAGGAGCAAACGUGGCGAAGUACUGAGUAAAAGUCACAACUUUAGAGGUUGCACAAUUUGGUUUACUGGUUAAUGGCUUUUUGUUAGGUGAUGAUUUCAACAUAAG
rnacentral:lncRNA from 1 species